GUAGCGGCGAGCGAACGGGGAGGAGCCCAGAGCCUGAAUCAGCAUGUGUGUUAGUGGAAGCGUCUGGAAAGGCGCGCGAUACAGGGUGACAGCCCCGUACACAAAAGCGCAUGUGCUGUGAGCUCGAUGAGUAGGGCGGGACACGUGGUAUCCUGUCUGAAUAUGGGGGGACCAUCCUCCAAGGCUAAAUACUCCUGACUGACCGAUAGUGAACCAGUACCGUGAGGGAAAGGCGAAAAGAACCCCGGCGAGGGGAGUGAAAAAGAACCUGAAACCGUGUACGUACAAGCAGUGGGAGCACCCUUUGGGGUGUGACUGCGUACCUUUUGUAU
rnacentral:rRNA from 1 species